AGAUUCUCCUUUAGAUCAAGUGAUCACAAAGGUGGUUUUCUCAGGGUGAGGCUCAUCCAUUGCACUGCGGGUGUGCUGACCCCUGCGAUUUCCCCAAAUGCGGGAAACUCAACUGCAUAAUUUGUGGUAGUGGGGGACUACGUUCGUGCUCUCCCCUG
ensembl:snRNA U1 U1 spliceosomal RNA